AACGCACAUUGCGCUCUCUGGUAUUCCGGAGAGCAUGCCUGUUUGAGCGUCAUUAAAACACCUCAACCUUUACUUUAUUGUAGAGAUUGGUCAUGGGCACUGGUUGGACUUUGUCUGACCUUGUCUGAAAUGGAUUGCAAGAUUAUUUGACGUAAUAAAAACAUUUUUGUUCGUUGGUAGUCAGCAUACCACGCUACUUGUAGCAAUUUUCUAAUUUUGACCUCAAAUCAGGUAGGACUACGCGCUGAACUUAA
rnacentral:misc_RNA from 1 species